GAUGAACGCUGGCGGCGUGCCUAAUACAUGCAAGUCGAGCGAACAGACGAUGAGCUUGCUCCUCUGACGUUAGCGGCGGACGGGUGAGUAACACGUGGAUAACCUACCUAUAAGACUGGGAUAACUUCGGGAAACCGGAGCUAAUACCGGAUAAUAUAUUGAACCGCAUGGUUCAAUAGUGAAAGACGGUUUUGCUGUCACUUAUAGAUGGAUCCGCGCCGCAUUAGCUAGUUGGUAAGGUAACGGCUUACCAAGGCAACGAUGCGUAGCCGAGCUGAGAGGGUGAUCAGCCACACUGGAACUGAGACACGGUCCAGACUCCUACGGGAGGCAGCAGUAGGGAAUCUUCCGCAAUGGGCGAAAGCCUGACGGAGCAACGCCGCGUGAGUGAUGAAGGUCUUCGGAUCGUAAAACUCUGUUAUUAGGGAAGAACAAAUGUGUAAGUAACUAUGCACGUCUUGACGGUACCUAAUCAGAAAGCCACGGCUAACUACGUG
rnacentral:rRNA from 1 species